rnacentral:rRNA from 1 species
UACAGAGGGGGCAAGCGUUGUUCGGAAUUACUGGGCGUAAAGGGCUCGUAGGCGGCCAACUAAGUCAGACGUGAAAUCCCUCGGCUUAACCGGGGAACUGCGUCUGAUACUGGAUGGCUAGAGGUUGGGAGAGGGAUGCGGAAUUCCAGGUGUAGCGGUGAAAUGCGUAGAUAUCUGGAGGAACACCGGUGGCGAAGGCGGCAUCCUGGACCAUCACUGACGCUGAGGCACGAAAGCGUGGGAGCAACA